rnacentral:lncRNA from 1 species
AGUCUCGCGCAGGAACUGCAGCAUUGGCGCUAGAAUCCCCACGUCCCAGCCCGGUCUGAACCUCGCUGAGCUCGGCGGAUUCGAGCGCAACAGGAUGCCAAGUGAAUGAGCUGACGAGACCUUUACGUUCUUCAUCCCGGUAAGACCUAGAGCUUUGUGCACAUUCUUCAUUGCUGGUACCAACUUCAUUUGCACAUCUGGUGUAUCCCAAUGUAAAACCUCAUUUCCAACUAGCACCACAUCAAUUUUCGUGAGUGGGUAGAAAGGCUUAAUGUUUGCCUCGACGUAUCGUCGAGCAUAGGCGAGAUCCAGUAGAUUCGGGACCUCGCCGUUAGGUAUGGUGACCGUAACGGAGAUACCUGUGUUAGCGAAAGCGCGCAGGAUAUCUGGGUUGAUGUCGAAGAUUUUUAUACGGUCUAUGACCGUUUUGUCCUUGAUGAACUGAGCUACUUGUGUUGGUGGUGGAAGGUUGUUUCCCAUAGUUCCAUAGUUAACACCUAUAGAUAUUACACAACGAAGACAAAGACCAACAAUAGAGAACAACAGUAAAAAUGAAUGUUUUCUGCUAGAUAUCUUCAUGGUUGAUGUGAAGAUGGUGAGAGGGAAAAAGGGGAAAGGUAUUGUUCAUAUAGGAAUAACAAUAAGGUUGAUUUGAUAAAUAAAGAAAGAAAGGUCAAAUUUAGAUUUUGAAUUAUUUUGACCAAAAGGAAAGAAGGAAGAUGGAGGGUUCUAGAUUUACAGUUUUUUUUUUUUUGGAAAGAGGAGCUUGAGAAUUUGGGGACUAUUUUCAAGAUUCUAUUUUUCAUGAAUGAUGAUUAUAUUUAGAGGGAAGAAUAGAAUAGAAUAGGAUGGAAAGAGGAGCUUGAGAAUUUGGGGACUAUUUUCAAGAUUCUAUUUUUGAUGAAUGAUGAUUAUAUUUAGAGGGAAGAAUAGAAUAGAAUAGGAUAAACGUGUCGUGGCAACAAAGGUGAAAAAGGAUACCAUAAUUAUUACUUACAAUAUGUUAAAACUAUGUUGAUUACGCGUAUGUUGCGCAACAACGCUGAUGAAUAUGUCCGAAGUGUGACAACGGAUAUUUUUGAAAGUGAAGUUCGUUUGAUCAUAAAAAUUAUUUAUAUUUUUUAAAAAAUUAUUUUAUUUUAAUAAAAUAUAACAAAAUACAUUUAAUCAUAAGAAAUUUAAAAUAUAAUUUUAAAAAAUUAUAUUUUGAAAAGUAAAAAUAAGAACUUAUUUUUACUUUUUUUCACUCAUAUUUUUCUCAUAAAAUUUCAAAAAUGACUUUAAUUUAUAUUUACGGUCAAACACAAUUCCAACUUUAAUUUUAACUCCAACCCUAACUCAAAAAAAUUAUGAUUUUUAUGACCAAACGAAAUCUCCAUCUUAUUAUAGCAUGAGUGUCAGUAUAUAAUAUUAUAUUAAUUUUAUAAAAUGCAUAAAUAAAAUAUUUAAUUUUAUAGAGAGAUUAUGAUUUCAUAUAAGAAUGAACAUAAAAUAUCAAAAAUUAAAUUAUUAAAUGAAAUAAAAAAAUUAAUAAUUGAUACAGUAAUGAAAUGGUCUAAUUUAAUUAUGACCUAAAAUAAAUUGAGUUGAAUUAAAUUAUGUGUUGAACGUGUCACCCGUGAACAUUUUACUGUAACACAUCAUUAUCCAGAUUUCAGUUGGACCACACACUCAGAAUUACAUCAUGUACCAUUUUAAUAAAGUUAUAUUACUCUUUCCUUUCGUUUCAGUUUACGUGAAUCGUUUGAUAUGACAUAAUGUUUAAUACUCUAUAUAAACCUGUGGAUUUUCAAUUUAUUAUAGUAUUUUAUUUGUUUGAUUUUACUUAUUUAUAGUAGGCUUUGCAAUCCUCUUAAGAAGAUAUUACUUUUUCCGUCUUAAUUUAUGUUCCUACUUUGCAGUAUGUCUCAAAAAUAAAAAUAAUUUAAUUUAAAAUUCAAUUUUUUCCUUACAAAUUGACUUACAAUAAUAUGAAUGUCUAAAAUUUAUUUUAAUCAUAAAUUUCAAAAGCCUAAGUUAUUAAAAUGAUAAAAAUAACAAAUAGAAUGCACAUUUUUCUAUAGUACUCUUUGCGUUAAUUGGCAUCUCAAUUUGCUUUGGGCUUUGGUGUAAAGCAACUUCUUCAUGGACAUAACGUGUAAGAUUAAUUGUUUGUGAUCAUAUUAAAAGCUAACUAAUUACUCAAUUAAUACAUUUGUGGCAAAGAUUAAUUGUUUGUCAAUGUAUUAAAAACUAACCAACCAAGCACUCCAUUGCAGUCUCACAAAUGGAGUCUAAAAGGGUACGAGACCAACUGGUCAAACAGAGACGAAAAUCGGCCAUAACGAUUUGAGAGUCCCAUGUGGAAGAGGUUUCGCUCAAUGGAUCAAAGAUACGUCGAG